CCCUUAGAUGUUCUGGGCCGCACGCGCGCUACACUGACGAAUGCCACGAGCUUAUAACCUUGGCCGAAAGGUCUGGGUAAUCUCCAAAUUUCGUCGUGAUGGGGAUAGAUUAUUGCAAUUAUUAAUCUUCAACGAGGAAUGCCUAGUAAGCGCAAGUCAUCAGCUUGCGUUGAUUACGUCCCUGCCCUUUGUACACACCGCCCGUCGCUCCUACCGAUUGAAUGGUCCGGUGAAGCGCUCGGACCGCGGCCUCUUGACGGUUUUCCGUCGAUUGGCUGUGGGAAGUUCGUUAAACCUUAUCAUUUAGAGGAAGGAGAAGUCGUAACA
rnacentral:rRNA from 1 species